rnacentral:rRNA from 1 species
GAUUGCCUCAGUAACUGCGAGUGAAGCGGCAACAGCUCGUCUUGAAUCGCCUCACGGCGAUAUGUGAGUCACGGCCUUACGUGGGGGAUGACGCGCAACUCGGCUGGAACGCCGGACCAAGGAGGGUGCUAGUCCCGUACCGCGUCGACCUCUGCGGUAGGCUGUGUUGAGCGAGUCGGGCAGUUUGGGAUUGCUGUCCUAACGGGAGGUAGACUCCUUCCAAAGCUAAAUAUCGACAGGAGACCGAUAGCGCACAAGUACUGUGAAGGAAAGAUGAAAAGCACUUUGAAAAGAGAGUUAAAAGACUUGAAAUCGCUGAGGAGGAAGCAGUGCGUGCAGCGCAGGAGCCAGUGCAAGGGGACUCACGAGUCCCUGGAAGCUGUCCCGCUGCAGAGUGCAGUGGGCUGUGCGUGAGGCUCUAGGCUGUGUGUCUGGAAGUCUGCGCUCGCCCGCUGAAGGCGCUCCGGCGACUCUGCCGCUGCGCGCACUGACCCGUCUUGAAACACGGACCAAGGAGUCCAACAUGCGUGCGAGUAGGAGGGUGCACACCCCACUGCGCAACGAAAGUGAGCCUGUCAAGCAGGGCCGCGUCGAGCGAGCUCAGCAGGCAUGUUGGGACCCGAAAGAUGGUGAACUAUGCUUGGGAAUGGCGAAGCCAGGGGAAACUCUGGUGGAGGCUUGUAGAGAUACU